rnacentral:rRNA from 1 species
GACGAAGGGGGCUAGCGUUGUUCGGAAUUACUGGGCGUAAAGGGCGCGUAGGCGGCUUAACAAGUCACUUGUGAAAUCUCCGGGCUUAACUCGGAACGGCCAAGUGAAACUGUCAAGCUAGAGUGCAGAAGGGGCAAUCGGAAUUCUUGGUGUAGCGGUGAAAUGCGUAGAUAUCAAGAGGAACACCUGAGGUGAAGACGGGUUGCUGGGCUGACACGUGACGCUGAGGCGCGAAAGCCAGGGGAGCAAACGGG